AAUAUGUAUUCAGAUCUUAAAUAACAAUUAUACCUAGACAAGUAAUAGAUUUUUGCGAGACUAAAAUUACUAAACAAACAAAGAUUUAUCUUGCAGAUAAAUAUGUCCUUGCCUAUGCAAUUUAGGGUGAUGAAGUAUGAUCAAAGGUCAUUCUUGUAAUGGUUUCGGCCAUUCCAACUCCCUUUGCCAUUGAUUUUAGAAGGAAAAAAUUAUUUCUGGCAAGCAUUAAAAAUAUGCUCUUUCUGUUAGUACCAAAUCAGGAACCAAGUAUCACAUUUUGGAAAUUAUCACAAGUUUGAAGACAAGAAAAAGAUUAAUCCUAAUAGAAUUUUCAGUUGAAGCAUAGGUCUUUGAAGGAAACAAAAGAAAAACCUCUUCAAGGAUAACAUGGAACCUCCGAGUCCUCAAAGAACAUUUAAUGCUAAAGGAAAAUGUUUCUGCUUAUCAAGAGACAUAGUUGAGAAGAAAAUAAAUACCCAUGUUUUAUUUGCCAACUCCAAAAAACUUAAGCAGGGGUCACCCAAUUUUCACAAAAAGAAAAAGAUAUCAAACUCCUUAGUUAAACAAAAUUUCUAUAUUGCAAUUCUGCAAAAAUUAAUAAGCCUAUCCAUCACACCAUGUCAUUAUGUCAAACAUAUAAAACCUAAUGCUUAAAGAAAAGUGAAUGCAUAAGCCACUACGAAACCAGUUUUAUCCAAAAUGAAGCUCAGUUUUAUCCAAAACUGUGUUUCAUG
rnacentral:misc_RNA from 1 species